CUGAGCUGUACACACUAUAUCAGGCACAAGGAAGGAGGCCCUAAGAAAUAGCACUUCCAGAAAGCAGCAUUUCCUGAAAUGAUAAGGUGUUCUCCUAGUCUACUCCUGCAACGUAUCUACUGACAUUGCCCCCACCCACACGCACAGCUUGAGACAGGACAAGAUAGACAAGGAAAUGGUAAUGAAACAGGCCAAGACCCGACAUAGACAAUCCAAAAAUCAC